UCUCCGUUGGUGAACCAGCGGAGGGAUCAUUACCGAAGUUACCCUUCAAACCCAUUGUGAACGUUACCUCUUGCCGCGUUGCCUCGGCGGGAGGCGCCGGGACCGUCGCCGCUCACGCGGAGGCACCCGCCGUCCCCCGCCGGCAGCGCCAAAACUCUAUUUGCACAGCGGACUGUAUGUUCUGAUUUACAAACAAAAACAAGUUAAAACUUUCAACAACGGAUCUCUUGGUUCUG
rnacentral:misc_RNA from 1 species